GGUUAAAAAGCUCGUAGUUGGAUUUCUGUCGAGGGCGGGCGGUCCGCACUAUGUGCGUGUAUCUUGUUCGGUCUUGGCAUCCUCUUGGGGAAUGCUUCUGUGCUUGAUUGCAUGGGGUGGAAUUCAAGACUUUUACUUUGAGGAAAUUAGAGUGUUCACGGCAAGCUACCGCUUUGAAUACAUUAGCAUGGAAUAAUAAUAUAGGGCGUAAGUUCUAUUUUGUUGGUUUCUAGGACAUACGCAAUGAUUAAUAGGGACAAUUGGGGGCAUUCGUAUUAACGCGUCAGAGGUGGAAUUCUUAGAUUGCGUUACGACGAACUACUGCGAAAGCAUUUGCCAAAGAUGUUUUCAUUGAUCAAGAACGAAAGUAUGGGGAUCGAAGACGAUUAGAUACCGUCGUAGUCUAUACCAUAAACUAUGCCAAUUAGAGAUUGGGCGUCGUUCGUUUUAUGACUCGCUCAGCACCUUAUGAGAAAUCAAAAUUUUUGGGUUCCGGGGGGAGUAUGGUCGCAAGUCUGAAACUUAAAGGAAUUGACGGAAGGGCACCACCAGGAGUGGAGCCUGCGGCUUAAUUUGACUCAACACGGGAAAACUUACCAGGUCCAGACAUAGUAAGGAUUGACAGAUUGAUAGCUCUU
rnacentral:rRNA from 1 species